UUCUGAGGCUCAACUUUUUUUUCUUCAAAAUAAAAGUUGUGCAGCUGUUUCAGCAUUCCCAUGUGAGUACCUUCAGAAAGUUUGUUCUGGUAAAAGAACUUUAUACAAAUUAAUGAAGACAGAUAGAUCUGGUCUGUGAGGCUGGCUCUACUUCAAGAGAUUGUAACUGUUUUACAAUCUGGCUUUUAUUCACUCUGCAUGAUGUGUGGAUAUAACUAUGCAAAUUAAAGCACUGCUCAUAAUUUUUGGCAUUCAUAACCUAAUAACCUACAGUUGGCUGAAGCAGAAUAUGGUGUUUACAGCUGGUGGAACCAUAACUACUCAAAACAGACCAGCCCUGUAUGAGUGAGACAAGCUGCAGCUGGACAUAAGGAAUAGAUCUUCUGGGUCAUCCCAAAUGAUGAAAUCUAUGAGGCCAGUGGAAGGCCCCAGUAAGGAGUAGAUCAGUGACUUUCAAACUUCCUAAAGUCACAGAACUCUUUCAUGUCACUUCUGUCUGUUGUUGAACCCGUCUCUGGCUCCACAGGCUGCUUGAGCUAACACACAGCCAGGUGACCCAGCCUGGAAAUGGAGCUGUUCUGCCAUUACACCUAAUCUUUUUGCAGAGCCUCUAAUGACCCCAGGGUUUUGCAGAACACCAUCUGAAAACCACUGAAGUAGAUCAAAUAUGACUUUCCUUUUAGAGGCUCUACUCUCCCUUCCAGCAGUUGUAUGACAUUCAUUGAAUAAAUCAGUUGAGAGAGCUGGGAAAAUUCUGACAAAGAAAAGUAUAAUGGAAAAUAUAAACAAAUGUUUCUAAAAACAA